AAUGUCUUGUUCUGGGUAAAGUAAAAAUGUCUGUGGUAUAAACUAGUCAGAUAUGUUACACUAAUAAGAGCAAAAUUAGUCUUGACACAUUUCUGGCAGCUCUAGAAAAAUAUGAGAUAUGUUCUCUACCACACAUGAAGAAUUGCCUCAGAGCAACAAAGGGUAUCAUUGUUGAGUCUAGAAAGGGCAGGAAUGUGCUGUACUUGGACAGACCCUGCCUUUUUUCCAGUUGGACCAGAGUGGAAACCUCACUGACUCUCCUGGUUGAGCCAAUUCAGAGACUCAGGGGCUGUCUGCAAGCUCAGAUGGGAGAGGGAGGGGCCCCCAGUGCAUGACCCAGGAGGUCACAGGUGCCACAGAAGUAUGCGUCUGGCGAAGGCUUUGCAUGUGAAUAAACACUGACCAGCUCUGUAUGAGGUUCCUCCUUUUCAUCCCACCUAUGAAAAUAUGCUGAAGAAAACAGGAAAGGCAAAUGAUAACUCAGAGAUGUAGUGUUUGAAGGGCUUAAAAAUACAUCAAAUCAAAUGGGAUUCAUUCUGCGUCACUCUCUUGCUCUCAUCAGGUGUUGAUUUCUUGGUAAGGAAAAAAUAACACCUAAAGGGAGAAAACAAGAUUUUUCACUUGAAAUAUUUAUGGAGAUACUUUGAAAAGUUUCUGAAUGUGAAAGGGACGAUCCAUCUGAAUUAGAUGAACUUGAGUAAAAAAUCGACAAAUAGACAUCUCUUGAUCUUCACAGUCCUGACGGGGAAAGGACCGAGGGCAUUGAACGAUACGAACUUUGAAGUUCAUUUCUAGUCUCGUAAUUCACGUGUGCCUGAAGAUGUGGACCUCAGGUGUUAAUUUACUUCACAUCAAAGACUGGUUCUAGAAGUCUAUAGAUUCUGGUUUAAAUAAAAUAUGGUGAUUAAAAAAUUCAAUCUUACAAAUGGAGAAUCCAGUUUAGAGGUGAUCAUUUGCCAACAAAUAGAUUAGAUGAGCUUGUAAAGGUUGCUUUCUGGUUCUUCAGUUCACAGUGUUUUGGUGAAGUGGAUGACGCUUCACACACCACAGGUGGGGUCAAAGCCACGACUCUAGGGCUUCCUUUUGAAAGGAUCAAAUCCAUGUUUACAUAACUGAUUUUUCCAUUAUGCUUUAUUGGAUCACUUAUUUAUUGGUAUAAAUAGUCAAGUUAAAAAUUUUAAUGCACAUACAACUAAUCAACUUGUACAACAACCUGAAAUUGUUUUCUCACCAGAUAGUCUAAUUUCAGGGUCCUGAAUGACUGGACUUUAGAUGAGAGGGAUGUGGGCUUCACCAGCUUUUGUAAACUUUAGGGGCAUGAUGCUGUAACAUGUGGUGGGGAAAAGAUCUCAGUUUCAUCAUUUCCUCUUAAACCUAAACUUAAACAUAUUUUGCUUUCCCUAGAAUUACAUAUAGCAGUUACUUUGGAAGUUUUUGUAAUGGAACAUUUUAGGAAUAUAAAUAUAAUAUUCUGGAAAUAUAAUGACCUACUAUGAGUAUUCACAUUUUUUAGGGAAUUACUAUUUCCCAAAA